rnacentral:rRNA from 1 species
UCAGACGAUGCGUCAUGCAUAUCAAUAAGCGGAGGAAAAGAAACUAACAAGGAUUCCCUUAGUAACGGCGAGUGAAGCGGGAAGAGCUCAAAUUUGAAAUCUUCAAGGUUUUACCUUGACGAAUUGUAGUUUAAAGAAGUGUUUUCUGUUGAAGUUUUGGUAAAAGUUCUUUGGAAUAGGACAUCAUAGAGGGUGAGAAUCCCGUAUUUGACCAUUAUUUUCAGCUGUGUGAUACACUUUCAAAGAGUCGGAUUGUUUGGGAAUGCAGUCCAAAAUGGGUGGUAAAUUUCAUCUAAAGCUAAAUAUUGGCGAGAGACCGAUAGCGAACAAGUACCGUGAGGGAAAGAUGAAAAGAACUUUGAAAAGAGAGUUAAACAGUACGUGAAAUUGUCAAAAGGGAAGCGUUUGACACCAUGUGUUGUUUUCUCGAAAAUCAAUUAAAAAGAGUUAGAUUUUGUUGUGUAUUGACCUUAACAGCUUGCAUUUCAAUUUUCUUGCUUUUUUUAAUGCACUUUUCGUUUAACAAGUCAACAUCAGUUUCUUUUGUUGUAAAAAGGUCAUUGGAAGGUGGCUUUCUUUUCGGAGAAAGUGUUUAUAGCCUUUGACUCCUGCAAUCGGAGAGACUGAGGUCUGCAGCGUAGAUCCUUCGGGGUUAGAUACAUUUGUGCUAAGUUAUAGCUUUUUAUAGACAACUUGUUGACUAUGAUUAGUCUUGUAGCUUACUCGCUUAUGCUAUUUUACCUACGCUUAGGAUGUUGAGUCGUAGAGCACGCAG